GGAUGAGCCCGUGCGCCCAACUAGCGGCCGUGGCCACGUCUCCUUUUAUUUCCGAGCGCUCGCUUCCUCCCGCCGCCUCCUUCUCUUCCUCUUCCUCUCCCUCGGCGUAGCCCCUCCACCUCCCUCCUCCUUCGACGUCGCCUGGUCCAGAUCGGGCUCAGGUCGUCUCCAUUGAGAGCAGGGGUGAACAACGGGAAGCGGUGGGAGAAGCGAGCGGCAACCGGCAGGGAGAGGCGGAGAGCCACGACAGGGUGGACAGCGGGAAGCGGUGGGGAGAAGCGAGCGACAGUCGACAGGGAGAGCCACGACGAUGGCCGGCGUCAGCUGCCACUUCCUCCCCUCGUCGGCGCCGCGAGGCCGCUAAGCCUGCGCCCGAGCUUCCUGUCCGUGAGCGAUCGCUCCGCCCACCGGCCGUCCCCCAUCCGUGUGCUUCUUCUCGGGACGUCGACGCCACGGAGCUCGUCAAGCUCCCUCUCUGCUGCUGCAGGAGGAUUGGAUUGGAUUGGCUUCUACUUGCUCUAUUAUCUAUUUGAGGAAUCUGAGAUGCUCUCUGUUCGUGUUCGCGCUCGUGCAACUCCCUCUCUGCUGCUGCAGGAGGAUUGGAUUGGAUUGGUUUCUACUUGCUCUAUUAUCUAUUUGAGAAUCUGAGAUGCGGCCCUCCAAAUCUUCGGCCCCAGAAGGAGGAUUUGAGAGUGGAGAAGGGUCACCUGAAUGUGAUUUGGAGGAAGGAGCUGUCCAGGAAUCAAAAUGUUAUUAUUUUACUAUUCUGCAGGGGAGAAUCUAAAGAUUAUUUGUUUCUUUUUAUGCCUACAGAUCGUGUUUAGUGUUUGGGAUUCACACCCUGCAUUGAUAAGGUCUGAAUUUAACAUCCACUUUUAACACUGGGUUCCUCAAGUGUUUCAGUUCAUACUUUGCCGACGUACAAUCUAUUGGCCACAUUUUCUGGCACACUUAUUCCAACUGAAGUCAGCUCCUGCUUGCACUUCUCCACUGAGUGAAUGCUAAUAGUUCUAAAAAGAUAAACCACCCAUAGAAUUGGUUCUAAUUAGAUCCUAUGAAAGAUCCAAGCAGCUAGAGUACCUUAGUCCAUAGGAGUCCUGGAACUGGUUCAGAAGUUCUUGAGUAAACUGGAUCAGUGAGAAUAUUAAUUGAGUCGCUGCUCAAGAAACAAAGUAGAAUAACGACAGCGUAACUAAUACCAUUUGUCCCUGCAUGAUGUAUUUUGAUCUCAAAUGCAUUUGAAUGGCUUGAUUUUUGCAGAGAUCUUGUCACCUGCGCCCUUGUUUGGUCGUACAUAAAACUGUCAUCUUGCUUUAAAUUCAAGUGGUCAGGUAUUUGAUAGUACGCAUGGCUGAACCCACCUUUUGUUGAAUUUGGGAACCGUCUAAUAUAGCUAUUUUUUAAGAAGAAGUUUGAACAGAUCUCAGUAUAUGUUAAUUUUGUAGAACUAAAGGAGCCUGACUGACUAGGUAAUUCCCAGCGAACUGAAGCAACUAGGCUUGUAGGCAUGUGUACUGUAAACAGAACCAAGUUCUGCAUAUAUUGUAUUUGCAGAAAAUGUUUUUGGCCUGUACGGUUCUAACAAAUUUGAGGUGAUAAAUUCUGAACACUAAAAGAAUUAGUUUUGUAGGACCAGUUUUCUUGUAUGACCUUGCACUACUGUAUUGAUUUUCUUGUACUUGCAUGGUCGGACUAAUAAUCAGCACAGUACAUUACUAAUUCAAUAGGACUAAUUUAUUUGAACUAAAGCCUUAGUAUGUAUGUUCAUAAUAUGUGCAGAUCACCACAUGCAGACUAUUCAUUCCUUGCCAAACUACACAUGCUAGCUACUGUUUGAAGAUGACGUUGUAAAAAAUGCAUAAGCUGGGGAUGGCAUGGUGAUGCUGCUGGUCGAGAAGUACCAUCCCAGUGCGUACUUCCUCCAGCCCAUAAUUUCAAUUUUCUCUUAUUGAAUGGCAAAUUCAUGCUUGGCUAAGUUCGGAUUCUGGCGUUUAGUGCAUCCGCACUGAACUGAUUGCUGGAUUUGGUAGGGGGUGAUAUCAUUUCGUUCAUGGGUGAACCUGAACACUGAUGUAGCUUCCCAGAUUCCUCUAUGCUCCAGUCAUUCAAAUAUUUUGUGAUGCCUUAGUUCUAUCUUCAGGAAUAAAUUUAACAUCAACACGGUGAUUUGAGAAUGCAAACAGACUCAGCUCCUUGGUUGCAGUUCCCUCCUUACCUACCAAUGCUUCCUCCUGCCUUGCCAGCCGCAUGUGUCCUCACCUUUGUUCAUCAAUUCGUGUGCUGGUAUGGAUUGGUGAUGUUUUUGACGCCCAUAGAGCCAUUACCUCAUGCAUGUGUAUUUUGUGUGCCAGUUUACCAGUUAGUGAGUGAUAAUGUCCAUAUGAAUGUUUCAUCGUUUAGCAAGUGAUCAGCAACAGGCAUCUCUUACUUUUGGAUUGAAGUGCAGAUCUUGCUAAAGAGUUGACCAUGGAGUCAUUUAUGUAUUCUUAUGCCCCAAUGCUUCAUUAAGUAUUCUUAUUAUGCAAUAUAAAAUUAUUUCUUACCGUCUUCUAUUGUUUCCUCUGUUUUUCUCAGUUAUUCAGAGAACACCACAUGUUACAUGAAUUCUAGACUACUUUCCUAGAGGUAGUUGUUAUUUCUUACCGUCUUCUAUUGUUUCCUCUGUUUUUCUCAGUUAUUCAGAGAACACCACAUGUUACAUGAAUUCUAGACUACUUUCCUAGAGGUAGUUGUUAGAAUCAUCUUCUUGAAUUUGCCUGCUUAGCAUCUAAUAUUUCACACUCGCCAAUUGUAAUAUCUCAUGCUUGCCAAUUUUUAGAAUCAGGUUCUUGAGUUUGCUUGCUUAACCGUGUCCCUGUGCAAUUGCUCACCAACCUCACCAAUUGUGAGUUUGUCCCACACAGUGGAGUUUCUGUGAGUUUUUAUAGUCUAUAAAUUCUUGGAAGUUCUCUUGUUGCUGCUAUAAUGUGGGUGUGUUCGGCUUCCUUCUUCAUUUAAGGUGAAUCCUUGCUUCCAGGUUGGCCUAUGAAAUGAUGUAGUUUCUGCUGGAAAAUAAGUUGUUAUGCAAUUAUAGUUAGGUUGCCAAUUUUCCUUCAUAAUUGCAUUUAAUGGUGGCUGUUAUGCUCACUUUGCUCAAAGAAAGGUUGUCUAGCCAUGCUACUUUGUGAUUUAAGAAAUAGGCUGACACCAAAUCAGUAAUCCCGGACUUCUGCUUUGUUGGCCGAAAUUUACUAAUUUUGUUUUUCUUGUUAUCUUUAGCCAUUCCAAAACAUUUAUCUGGUUCUGUAGAAUUACAGACCAUAGAAUUAUAGCUGGCCAUAUUUUUGAAUGCGUGAACCUCACAUAGAUAUCAUGCUAAUGUAGCUUGACGGAAGUUGUAAAACCAAUGGAUAGGCAUCGUCUUCUGCUAAGGUUCCUUUCACCCUUCUUUAGAACCCAACAAGCAUUCAUCAAAAAAUUAAAGAUCUUGGUUGGUGAUUUGUUUCAAUGGCCGGUAUAGUAAGGCUACAACAAUUAUCAUAGUAUUUUUCAUUUCUUUUUGCCUGCCCUUGUUUCACAACCUAAUACUGAUUGAUCAGGUACAUUGCAAUGAGUGCUUACUUAUGUUUUGUCUCCUGUUAUUUUUUGAUUCCAGUCUUCAUACUUUCAGACACCUUUGAUAAUAUAGGAAGAAGAAAGUAUUCGCUCCAGACGAAGAUGUCUAGCUUGCUUGUGUGCUAUAACAUUAAUCCGUGCAUCGGGCCCAACGUUUUCUAUCAUUGGAACCUUGAUGAUUUAUCUCAUUUGAACAUAAUCUAACCCCUCUGAUUUUUGUCAGUACAUGAUUGUACACCUCCUAUGCCCGCUUAAUUGUGUGUUCAUUUUGUUAAUCAAGAAGCAUCUGAUUUUAUGGCUGGCGUAAUGCUCCAGCAUGACCGCUUCGUGUGCUGCCUUGAGUCGCGCGGCCAUUACGCUCGCGCCGAGGUGGAGGCAGCUGCCACUCUCGACGCCCUCCGAUGCACGCUCUCGCCGACGGCGUUCGCAAAGCCUUGUCACCACGCUGCAAGUGUUGCCCCCUCCUCCCCAAGGGCAAGGUGAAGAAAGGUGCCUGUGUAGUUCUUCUGCAGCUUGCAGCGAGGAUUGUUGUGUCCAACCUGUACAAUAAUGCCAAGAAGUCCUUGGAGACGUAAGCCACGGCGCAUGUUUCUGCCAUGAUUUCCUUCGGUUGGUUUUGUGGAUUUAGGUGUUGAAAAAUUAUGGGAUGUGGAUGCAGGAUUAAGGACAUGUACCUGCACUACAACGAGAGAUUUGGGCUGCUUCUUUGUGGCUUCCAAACUUGAAAUUUUUGUUUGGAAGUUAGUUUAGUUUUUUGUUGUGGAUUCACAUCGUCUUACACGUACCAUCCUCUUAGACCUUUAGAUUUCCAAAAAAAAACUAAAUGAAGAUAUGGUGGUAUGGUCUCAAUAGUACAACUUAAAGCCUUGCAUGCUUUAUAUUUUCUUUGAAAUUUGGUCUUGAAGAAUCAUGUAUCUAUGUUAGAUCCGGUGAGAAAAGGCGGCUUUCAAGCAGAGGAUGGGGGAGUGUUGGCCACAUUUGGUUUUCGACUUGGGUGUAUAAAUAUUCUCACAAUACUUGUGUUAGGAUUAAUUAAUGAUUGUUAAUUAAGGGAUAAUCCCUGCUUUUACUAACCGCAGACAGUUGCAUCUGCCGCAUCGGUUCCCUGCCGAAUAGGCACCUCCCUGAACAGACGCCUUCCUAGUGAUAUCUCUUCCCUUUGUAUAAACGAAAUGGCUUCACACACGACAUGAUUGGACGAUACACAGUGUGCAUGCAUCACCUAACACA